CCUAACACAUGCAAGUCGAACGGUAACAGGAAGAAGCUUGCUUCUUUGCUGACGAGUGGCGGACGGGUGAGUAAUGUCUGGGAAACUGCCUGAUGGAGGGGGAUAACUACUGGAAACGGUAGCUAAUACCGCAUAACGUCGCAAGACCAAAGAGGGGGACCUUCGGGCCUCUUGCCAUCGGAUGUGCCCAGAUGGGAUUAGCUAGUAGGUGGGGUAACGGCUCACCUAGGCGACGAUCCCUAGCUGGUCUGAGAGGAUGACCAGCCACACUGGAACUGAGACACGGUCCAGACUCCUACGGGAGGCAGCAGUGGGGAAUAUUGCACAAUGGGCGCAAGCCUGAUGCAGCCAUGCCGCGUGUAUGAAGAAGGCCUUCGGGUUGUAAAGUACUUUCAGCGGGGAGGAAGGGAGUAAAGUUAAUACCUUUGCUCAUUGACGUUACCCGCAGAAGAAGCACCGGCUAACUCCGUGCCAGCAGCCGCGGUAAUACGGAGGGUGCAAGCGUUAAUCGGAAUUACUGGGCGUAAAGCGCACGCAGGCGGUUUGUUAAGUCAGAUGUGAAAUCCCCGGGCUCAACCUGGGAACUGCAUCUGAUACUGGCAAGCUUGAGUCUCGUAGAGGGGGGUAGAAUUCCAGGUGUAGCGGUGAAAUGCGUAGAGAUCUGGAGGAAUACCGGUGGCGAAGGCGGCCCCCUGGACGAAGACUGACGCUCAGGUGCGAAAGCGUGGGGAGCAAACAGGAUCAGAUACCCU
rnacentral:rRNA from 1 species